UGCGUAGUGAAAUAGUUUGGUAAUUUCGCCUGAUUUGGGAUCAGGAGAUCGCAGGUUCAAAUCCUGCCUAUGCAA
rnacentral:tRNA from 1 species